rnacentral:lncRNA from 1 species
GGGUUCGAAAAGUGAGAAAGUGAGCUACGAGUGUCGUGAGCCCACAAAAUCUCAGAAGAUCUUCAACAUCCUCUCAAGCAUGUCUGUUGAUAAUUCGGAGCAUCCAAAGAAUCGACAGACAUAGAUCGAAGGAGUUCGAUCAGCAUCCGCUGUCAAAAGGGCUCUACAACGAGCUAGCACUCGUGAGGAGUCGAUUAGACUGAAAGCUUCGUGUGAACGAUCUGCAGAGGUCAGACAUACUAUAUGGCUGCAUCGCGAUGAUCAGACUCUCU